AUGGACCUGUCACGUUCUGUCGUCCUCGUCCUCGCCGUCGCCGUCUGCCUCCUGUGCGCGUCGGCUGAGGAUCAGCUGGCCGUCGGCGAGAGGCUCCUUGUGGAGCAAACCCUCGUGUCGGACGGCGGCGCCUUCGCUCUCGGCUUCUUCUCUCCGGACGACGCCGCCGGUCCGGCGAGACGGUAUCUUGGCAUAUGGUACAACGGCAUCCCUGCCCCCCGCACCGUUGUCUGGGUGGCCAACCGGGAGGCCCCGGCCGCCGGCUCCCCGACGCUCGCGCUGGCCAACGACUCCAGCCUCGUCGUGUCCGACGCCGACGGCCGCGUGCUCUGGAGUACUCCCGGCGCGGGCAGCACGUCCUCCUCGUCUUCCUCGCCGCCGGCCCUGCUGACGAACGAGGGCAACCUGGUCGUCCGGUCGCCGAACGGCACGGUGGUGUGGCAGAGCUUCGACCACCCGACGGACACGUUCGUCCCGGGGAUGAAGGUGCGGCUGAGCCACCUAACGGGAGAGGGCAACCGGAUCGUGUCCUGGAAAUCCCCCGGCGACCCGGCGGCGGGGAGCUUCUCCUACGGCCUGGACCCCGGCACGUCGCUGCAGCUGCUCAUGUGGAACGGCACGCGGCCCUACUGGCGCACGCCCGUCUGGAAGGGGUACGCCGUCGCCAGCAUGUACCUCAGCGCCGGCACGGUGCUCUACACGGCGAUCGUCGACACCGAGGAGGAGAUCUCCAUCGCCUUCACCCUCUCCGGCGGCGCGGCGCCCACGCGGUACGUGGUGACCAGCUCCGGCAGGUUUCAGCUCCUCAGCUGGAACGGCACCGUGUCGGCGUGGGCCACGAUCCAGUCCUGGCCGUCGAGCGGGUGCAGCACAUACAAGCGUUGCGGCGCGUACGGGUACUGCGACGUCACGGCGGCGCCGGCCACGUGCAGGUGCCUCGACGGGUUCGAGCCGGCGAGCGCGUCGGAGUGGAGCGCGGGCGUGUUCGAGCAGGGGUGCCGGCGGAAGGAGGCUCUGCCGCCGUGCGGCGGCGGCGGCAUGAGGGUGGGUUUCGUGCCGAUGCCGACCAUGAAGGUGCCGGACAAGUUCUCGCUCGACGCCGGCAACCGGAGCGCGGAGGAGUGCGCGGCCAGGUGCGCCGCCAACUGCUCGUGCGAGGCGUACGCGUACGCCAACCUGCAGAGCAGCAGCGCCAAGGGCGAACUGAGCCGGUGCAUCGUGUGGGCAGGGGAGCUUGUCGACGCGCAGAUGAUCGGCCCGCGCUGGGGCGGCGAGACGCUCUACCUCCGCGUCCCCGUCGCUGCUGCUUCCACUUCCCCAGGUGGAAAGGCCAACAGAAAUGCCGUGAAAAUAGCAGUGCCGGUGUCAGCAGCUGUCCUGCUGCUGACAUGCAUUUUCUUUGUAUGGUUCUGCAGAUUCAGAGAAAAGAAAAGAAAAACCGAGAGCCAGAAGACGCUAAUGCCCGGGAUCAGAACCGGGUCCACAAACACAUCGAGCGAAAUCGGGGAAGGAGAUCACACCGGAGACCUCGAGUUCCCGUCCAUACGGUUCGCCGACAUUGUCGCCGCCACGGGCAACUUCUCCAAGACCCUCAUGAUCGGGCGGGGAGGCUUCGGCAAGGUUUACAAGGCAAAACUAGACGGCGGUCAGGUGGUCGCUGUGAAGAGGCUAGGCAAGGAUUCAGAGCAGGGAGCAGAGGAGUUCAAGAACGAGGCGAUUCUUAUCGCCAAGCUGCAGCACCGGAACCUGGUCCGUCUCCUUGGCUGCUGCACCGAGGGGGCAGAGAAGCUGCUCAUCUACGAGUAUUUGCCCAACAAGGGCCUCGACGCCAUCCUCUUCGACAGCGAGAGAAAACUGGUGCUGGACUGGCCGACACGGCUGGGGAUCAUCAAGGGCGUGGCGAGGGGGUUGCUCUACCUUCACCAGGACUCCAGGCUGACGGUGAUACACAGGGACCUCAAGGCCAGCAACGUGCUGCUGGAUGCAGAGAUGAGACCCAAGAUCGCCGACUUUGGCAUGGCAAAGAUCUUUGGUGACAACCAGGUGAAAGCCAACACCCGGAAAAUCGUGGGAACAUAUGGCUACAUUGCUCCAGAGUACUCGACGGAGGGCGUCUUCUCGGUCAAGUCCGACGUGUACAGCUUCGGUGUGCUGCUGCUGGAGAUCGUGAGCGGCAUCAGGGUAAGCGCAACCGAGGGCAUCAUGGAGUUCCCCAGCCUCAUAGUCUAUGCAUGGAGCCUGUGGAGAGAAGGGAAGGCAGGUAAGCUGGUGGAUCCAUCCAUGGCAGGGAGCUGUUCACAGGAUGAGGCAUUGCUCUGCAUCCACGUGGGGCUCCUGUGCGUCGAGGACGACCCAAGCCGGAGGCCGCUCAUGUCGUCCGUCGUGUCCAUUUUGGAAAAUGGAAGCGCGUCGUCGCUGUCCCUCCCGACGCCGGUGCAGCCUGCUUUUAUCGAAAUGAUGGGAGACAAGAGCCAGAGAAGCGAUCUCGAGAACACCAGGAACACCAUGGCCAUGACAGUUCUGCAAGGCCGGUAG
rnacentral:rRNA from 1 species